rnacentral:rRNA from 1 species
UACGGAGGGUGCAAGCGUUGCUCGGAAUUAUUGGGCGUAAAGGGUAGGUAGGUGGUCUCGUUUGUCUGGGGUGAAAGCCUUGAGCUUAACUCAAGAAGUGCCUCAGAAACGGCGAGACUAGAGUUCUGGAGAGGGUCGUGGAAUUCCCGGUGUAGCGGUGAAAUGCGUAGAGAUCGGGAGGAACACCAGAGGCGAAAGCGGCGCACUGGACCAUAACUGACGCUGAUGCGCGAAAGCUAGGGGAGCAAACAGG